CAUUAGCAGCAUGGAGUUAUGACACAUUUAACAGUUCUGAUUUCAUCCACUUGAGAACUCUUGUCACUAUCUUCCCAGGGAUGCCAAGUCACUUCAUCAGAUAUGACAAACUUGCUUGAUGCACUGAAUCAGAGGCCUGAUGGAAGUCUAUAUAAAGUGCUGCUCUUGGCUUAUGAAAUGCAGCCAUCUUCUCAAAAAGCUGUCUCAAGUAAUUACAAAAGGGGUUAAGUGAUGACUGCUCCUUAUACCCUGUUCAGAUGCUGCUGCUGAGACCAGGACUCGAUAGAUGACAAUGACCCACCGGACCACGAUCACCCACUGGAACAGCUACUGCAGCAGAGAAUGGCGAUGAACGAUGAUG